UACGUAGGGUGCAAGCCUUAAUCGGAAUUAUUGGGCGUAAAGGGCGCGUAGGCGGACUUGUAAGUCAGAUGUGAAAUUCCGGGGCUCAACCUCGGAGCUGCAUUUGAAACUGUGAGUCUAGAGGGUUGACGGAGAAAACGGAAUUCCACGUGUAGCGGUGAAAUGCGUAGAUAUCAGGAGGAACACCGGUGGCGAAGGCGGGACUCUGGGCCGAUACUGACGCUGAGGAGCGAAAGCGUGGGGAGCAAACAGG
rnacentral:rRNA from 1 species